CCAAUUUUUAUUUCAAGAUCUUUAUACUUUCUCAGAGUUUGGUAGGUCUUGACAGAUACUUUUAUGUCGAUUGAGACAGUCGUAUCAAUGAGGAAGCAUGAUUUUUGGCUGAUGUCUUUCAAUAUAAUGUCUGGACUAUUCGCAUCUAUCUUUCUGUCAGUUUGAAGGGUGAAGUUCCAGAGGAGUGAGAUGUGAUUAUUUUCAAGAACUGGAGGUGGUUUGUGUUCCCACCAGUCUUUAUCAUGGAGCAGAUCCAGGUUUUUUUUCAAAAUACCCAGUAAAUAUAUUAUGCUGCUCUAUCAUACCUGUUGAGAUACUUUGUAGGCGCGAGAAGACUGCACAUGGAGUCAACAUGAUCGAUGGUUUCAUUUUGUUAUUGACAUACACAUGUUGGGCUACUGCCGUUCUUUAAUAUGUUGGCCUGGUAGUUUCUUGGGGGUAUGCAUUGAUCUUGAGCUGCUAUGAUAAACCCUUCUGUUUCUGAUUUUAAGCCAGAAGACACUAACCAUUGAUGAGAAAGGGCUUUGUGAACAUCGGCACUAUUAGCUCUCUUUAGGUAUUUGCCAUUGAGAGGCUUUUCUUGCCAUUUAUCAAUAAGAAUAUCUAAGGCAGCAGUUUUAGCACGGGUUUUCAUACGCUUAGCUUUUUCUGUGCUUGUUUUACUAGUACAGAUC